UACGUAUGUCUCGAGCGUUACCCGGAAUUACUGGGUGUAAAGGGUUUGUAGGUUGGUGAAUAAGUCAGGUAUGAAAGACCGGAGCUUAACUCCGAGUUUGUGCUUGAAACUGUUGACCUAGAAUCAGGGAGAGGUAAGCGGAAUUCUAAGUGUAGGGGUGCAAUCCGUAGAUACUUAGAGGAACACCAAAAGCGAAGGCAGCUUACUGGAACUGCAUUGACACUGAAAAACGAAAGCGUGGGUAGCGAAAAGG
rnacentral:rRNA from 1 species